rnacentral:sRNA from 1 species
AAUUUUCAAAUUCCAAGUUUUUUUUUUUUGGCACCAGUAACUCCUUGUGGUGCCAAGUUGAAAAAAAGACAUAAAGCUAUAUAGGGGGGUGGGUGUUGAGGGAGUCUGAGCAGUCCGAGGGAACCCCCUCCUUUGUUCCGGACUUGGGUUGCGAACGAGGGAUACCGUCGGAUAUCGACACGAGGAAUGACCGAUCGACCGGCUGACCGUCUUACCGUCGAAAUUUUCGCCUGAAAAGUUUUCUGGCGAUCGGUUAUUUGACUUUUCCCGAGUUUUUCCAGCAUUUCUCGAACAAAAAUUGCUGAAUCAUCGAGGGGAAUGGGCUUCCCU